UACGAAGGGGGCUAGCGUUGUUCGGAUUUACUGGGCGUAAAGCGCACGUAGGCGGAUUGUUAAGUCAGGGGUGAAAUCCCAGAGCUCAACUCUGGAACUGCCUUUGAUACUGGCAAUCUCGAGUCCGGAAGAGGUGAGUGGAACUCCUAGUGUAGAGGUGGAAUUCGUAGAUAUUAGGAAGAACACCGGUGGCGAAGGCGGCCUUCUGGGACCG
rnacentral:rRNA from 1 species